rnacentral:lncRNA from 1 species
UUACGCACAUUGUGACGGCCCAUAUGUUUGGUACUGAUAGGGCGUUUCCCGAGAGCGAUUGCGCAGUUCCAGUGGAGUCUUCAGACACUGCAAAAGGUGAAACUUUCAGAUAGUACCUUUGCGAAGAUUCUCCUCCAGUCAUGAAGUGGACUUUGGCAGUCAUCUCUCUUCUUGUUUGCCUGGGUACGGCGCAUGCUCUGAAUUGCUACCAGUGUGCGUUGGGAACAUGCAACGACCCAUUCAACAAAGCUCAGGCAAACAACACAGCAUGCGGGUCUGCAGGCGACGCAUGCGUGAAAAUCAAAGCUGGCGGCAACGUUCAACGCCAAUGUGGUAUCUCUGCCAGCUGCCUUGACGCGUUGACCGGUGGGCCAAACAGCUGUAAGACCAUUUCUGUGCUUGGAGUCGACACAACAUCUUGCUGUUGCACCUCUGCACUUUGCAACAGCGCCACCACUCGUCGCGUCAACUACGCUGUGGUGUCUGCAAUGUUGCUUUUGAUCAAAGCUGCUUUUUAAAUGUCAAAGGCAGCUGUAAUUGCCUAUGGUAUUUGUAGCAAACAUAUUACUUAAAUAAAACGUAGAAAGCUCAUAAUUUCCAAGUGAAGUCUCAAAUUACGCUCUUUUAAUUUUCCUCCUUGCAAAUUUCCCUCUAAACUCUAGAAAUAAAUUAGUGGCCCAAUUUGCACUCUUCGAAAUUAUAUUAAAUUAAGAAGAAACAAAGCCAAAUGAAUAAUUUUCUCGAAUUUCUCUCGUGUUCCAUUUGACUUUCCUGGGAUUGUUCAUCUUCGUGAUGAAUGAGGAUUGUAGGACGGGGUGAGAUAAAAUGAAGAUUCAAAUCAUCAUAUAAUUGUUGUCAGACCUGUGAAUUAAACAUUCCUAGCUUACUGCUGAACAGGUGGCUUUCUGGUAUUUUUUAAACUACAUUCCUAAAUCAUUUGUUUAUUGUUUCUGUGACAUUCCAUUAUGUUUCACACAUACUGGAAUUUUACGUUGAUUUUUCUGUCUCUUCAUCAAGGUCAUUGAACAACGGCUAAAUGAUUCACUUUGUCAUUCUUAAACUAAGUCUUUGAUCAUUCUUUGAAUACAUUCAAGGUUCACUUUGAACAAUGAUCCUUAAGAAAUCUUUCUCAUUGCUGAUUCCGCGUGAGGAACUGACAAAUGAAAGCCUAUGACAAACUUGCAUUAUCCAUCAGAAAUGAAAUAUUUUCAAGAACUCUGCACUUGAUCACGUUUGAGCCAUUUCAUUGAAAUGAGUCACAACAAGAUCAACUAAGUACUAAGAUGGAUGCCAAUAUAUGUACUUUUUUCAAAAGGCUUGGAAUCACUGAAGUCAAACGACUUUUGUUUAAUCCAGGGGAUCCGCAUAACCCUUAAAAUCUGCACAAACCGAGGCUGGUAACUGCACUUAAGAAUAAAACUAUUAAAUGAUAAUGCCGAGUUCGAGGCUAGAUUGUGGUCACGUGCCACACUCAGUUCCUUAUGCAGACAAUAGUUUGCUUGUGUAAUUACAUGUAUUGUCUUUUUUAUUCUCAAGGAAAGGAGCGUUGCUAGAAAAUGUAGUAAAACAGUGCCUGUGAUUGUCGAAAAAUGUGUUUUGCAUCUCAAAAUUCUGAAAAUAGGUUUCUGAGGAAAUAAAUUGAUAGAAUAAAACCAUGAAGAAUGUU